rnacentral:rRNA from 1 species
AUGAACGCUAGCUACAGGCUUAACACAUGCAAGUCGAGGGGCAGCAUGGUCUUAGCUUGCUAAGGCCGAUGGCGACCGGCGCACGGGUGAGUAACACGUAUCCAACCUGCCGUCUACUCUUGGACAGCCUUCUGAAAGGAAGAUUAAUACAAGAUGGCAUCAUGAGUCCGCAUGUUCACAUGAUUAAAGGUAUUCCGGUAGACGAUGGGGAUGCGUUCCAUUAGAUAGUAGGCGGGGUAACGGCCCACCUAGUCUUCGAUGGAUAGGGGUUCUGAGAGGAAGGUCCCCCACAUUGGAACUGAGACACGGUCCAAACUCCUACGGGAGGCAGCAGUGAGGAAUAUUGGUCAAUGGGCGAGAGCCUGAACCAGCCAAGUAGCGUGAAGGAUGACUGCCCUAUGGGUUGUAAACUUCUUUUAUAAAGGAAUAAAGUCGGGUAUGGAUACCCGUUUGCAUGUACUUUAUGAAUAAGGAUCGGCUAACUCCGUGCCAGCAGCCGCGGUAAUACGGAGGAUCCGAGCGUUAUCCGGAUUUAUUGGGUUUAAAGGGAGCGUAGAUGGAUGUUUAAGUCAGUUGUGAAAGUUUGCGGCUCAACCGUAAAAUUGCAGUUGAUACUGGAUAUCUUGAGUGCAGUUGAGGCAGGCGGAAUUCGUGGUGUAGCGGUGAAAUGCUUAGAUAUCACGAAGAACUCCGAUUGCGAAGGCAGCCUGCUAAGCUGCAACUGACAUUGAGGCUCGAAAGUGUGGGUAUCAAACAGGAUUAGAUACCCUGGUAGUCCACACGGUAAACGAUGAAUACUCGCUGUUUGCGAUAUACUGCAAGCGGCCAAGCGAAAGCGUUAAGUAUUCCACCUGGGGAGUACGCCGGCAACGGUGAAACUCAAAGGAAUUGACGGGGGCCCGCACAAGCGGAGGAACAUGUGGUUUAAUUCGAUGAUACGCGAGGAACCUUACCCGGGCUUAAAUUGCAGAUGAAUUACGGUGAAAGCCGUAAGCCGCAAGGCAUCUGUGAAGGUGCUGCAUGGUUGUCGUCAGCUCGUGCCGUGAGGUGUCGGCUUAAGUGCCAUAACGAGCGCAACCCUUAUCUUUAGUUACUAACAGGUCAUGCUGAGGACUCUAGAGAGACUGCCGUCGUAAGAUGUGAGGAAGGUGGGGAUGACGUCAAAUCAGCACGGCCCUUACGUCCGGGGCUACACACGUGUUACAAUGGGGGGUACAGAGGGCCGCUACCACGCGAGUGGAUGCCAAUCCCCAAAACCUCUCUCAGUUCGGACUGGAGUCUGCAACCCGACUCCACGAAGCUGGAUUCGCUAGUAAUCGCGCAUCAGCCACGGCGCGGUGAAUACGUUCCCGGGCCUUGUACACACCGCCCGUCAAGCCAUGGGAGCCGGGGGUACCUGAAGUGCGUAACCGCGAGGAGCGCCCUAGGGUAAAACUGGUGACUGGGGCU